UCGUGAAAUGAACGUCUGCUGACACCGCAUCAGGUGGUGUGCUCUUUCUAGCUCAUGAGAUGAAUUGUUGGCAAAUGCUACAAAUCCAGACUUGAUGUAUUGCUUGGUUUCUCAAGUCUGGACUUGAGAAAACGAUAAAGAAAAUGUUAACACCUGAGACUAAAUUUCCACGUGGGUCGUGUCAGUAGCCGUUAGGCUGUGAAGAGCUAUGCCUCGACACAUAGAUUUGUCCCCCUCCAGGGCGCUGCUUGGGAGUUAUUUACGAUUGUACGACCGACUGCUGUCCAUCUUUAACCAGCCUCUCACUCUUUCUCUCUUGUUCUAGGUAGAGUUUCCAAUGGGCAAUGGAAAUGUCAUUCCUGGAGUCCUUCAAACGAGGGUUUCCAUAGAAUCUGGUCUCCCAAAUCGUGGUCACGCUGGGGCUUUCAUUCUCUUAAUGACUCUCCUUUAGGUCCCCAGUUGCUGGCAUUUCAGAUCAUCCUCAUUUGGGGUUUUGAUCUUUUUGGAGCAAAGCCUCAGGAAGCUACAUCAGAAAAGUUCAACCUAGAUUUGUGUAUUUCUGGCAAUUAGAUUGGUUGAUCUGGUUGGAUGACUCGUUUAGCUGCCUGCCACAGGGCAGGUUCAAAACAUACCUUGCCUUCAGUUUCUGAAGUCAUUGCUCCCUCGUCCUGCAGUGUACAGACUUGAUGAGGCUUUCUGCUUUGACUCAUGGCUAACGUGGUCUCUCUUCUUAUUCUCCAGCUACUCAGCUUCUCUUUUAGAUAACCAGUACUGCUAGUUUCCAAGUAAGAUCGACCAAACCUUCAUGUAGUUGUGACAUGGUUUUCGGAUUCGCUUUGUUCCCAAUGCUUCGAGGAUCCACUCUUUGGGCAAGCGACCCAGUCAGGAGAGAACCACUGCAGAGGCUGCCCAGCAUUCCUCCAGGAAAGAGCAUCAGGAGGGAACUCUUCCCUCAGGCAGCGGGAGGGCCCUGCUCACCAGGAGCCAUGUGAGGACCCACCCAACAGGGGACUGUCAGCAACUGGGAAAUCAAGGUUCCCUGAGUCCCAGGAAAGAUGUCUUACCAGCAGCAGCAGUGCAAGCAGCCCUGCCAGCCACCUCCUGUGUGCAUACCCAAGUGCCCUGAGCCAUGUCCACCCCCUAAGUGCCCUGAGCCAUGUCCACCUCCUUGCCCACCUGUGGUGUGCCCACCUCCAGUAUGCCAGCAGAAAUGCCC